GAUAUAAUAACAACUGAUGGUGCAUUAUUCUAGUCGUGUCAGUUAUUAUGAGGGUGGGGCUAAAAAUCCACUAAAGGGCAUACAUGAAGCUUCUUGUUUGUGCGCGAAAUGCCAGUUUUGUGUGUUUUCAGGAAGGUAAGAGGCACGGGUAAUAUAUAAUGGCAUAUAUAGAAUCCCCUGUUUCGUUGAGGCUUAGAAAUCAUUUAAGUAAACCUAUGGUGAGUGCCAAGACACAAAAUACAUAGAGUAGCCUGUCUUGAGUGAGGGUAUUGGGAUUAAGUAACAUUUAUGAAAUUACACUUGCAAAAGAGACUAGUAAUAAUAUUAGACAUGUCAAGGAAAACUUCUAGAAUGUUUGCUUCAGGCAAGAAGCAUAGAAAUCUGAGGAUUAAGGUACGGAUUUAAGUGGUGAUCUAGUGUUCACUGCAAUAUGUGAAUGUUCUUUUAAAUGGAAACAGCUAUGUAGUAAUACAUAGUAAAGAAUAGAGAAAUUCAACUAGACCUAAACCGUAAAAUUUACUUAGGUUUUACCAUCUUCACCUUUUUUAUA
rfam:Clostridium sp. CAG:269 genomic scaffold, scf183